UUUUGCCAAGUCCACGUUUGCAGUGCCCCUUCGGGAGUCUGAAACUGUCGCUGCAAAACAAAGGAGAAAGAGGGGGAGUGGUA
rnacentral:ribozyme from 1 species